rnacentral:rRNA from 1 species
UACGUAGGGUGCGAGCGUUAAUCGGAAUUACUGGGCGUAAAGCGUGAGCAGGCGGUCUGUUAAGACAGAUGUGAAAUCCCCGGGCUCAACCCGGGAACUGCGUCCGAUACUGGGAGGCUUGAAUCCGGGAGAGGGAUGUGGAAUUCCAGGUGUAGCGGUGAAAUGCGUAGAUAUCUGGAGGAACACCGGUGGCGAAGGCGGCAUCCUGGACCGGUAUUGACGCUGAGGCGCGAAAGCCAGGGGAGCAAACGGG